rnacentral:tRNA from 1 species
GGACCUGUAGCCUAGCCUGGCAAGGGUUUCGUUCCUUGAUCCCGAAAAAAAGAACUACCUUGGGCAAAUAAGGCGACAGCCUCCUAAGCUGUAGACCGGGGGUUCAAAUCCCCCCAGGUCCG